AUUGAACGCUGGCGGCAUGCCUUACACAUGCAAAUCGAACGGUAACGGGCCUUCGGGGGCCGACGAGUGGCGAACGGGCGAGUAAUACAUCGGAACGUGCCCGAGCCUGGGGGAUAACGUGGCGAAAGCUGUGCUAAUACCGCAUACGAUCUACGGAUGAAAGCAGGGGACCGCAAGGCCUUGCGCGGACGGAGCGGCCGAUGGCCGAUGAGGUCGAUGGUGGGAUAAGAGCUUACCAAGCCGACGAUCUGUAGCUGGCCUGAGAGGAUGAGCAGCCACACUGGGUCUUAGACACGGCCCAGACUCCUACGGGAGGCCCCAGUGGGGAAUUUUCGACACUGGGCGCCAGCCUGAUCCAGCGAUCCCGCGUCAGGGAUGAAGCCUCUCGGUUUGUAAAGUGAUUUUGUGCGGAACAAACAGCUUUCUCUUAAUACGGGAGGGUCCUGACGGUACCGUAAAAAUAAGCACCGGCUAACUACGUG
rnacentral:rRNA from 1 species